GUGCCUAAUACAUGCAAGUCGAGCGAAUGGAUUAAGAGCUUGCUCUUAUGAAGUUAGCGGCGGACGGGUGAGUAACACGUGGGUAACCUGCCCAUAAGACUGGGAUAACUCCGGGAAACCGGGGCUAAUACCGGAUAACAUUUUGAACCGCAUGGUUCGAAAUUGAAAGGCGGCUUCGGCUGUCACUUAUGGAUGGACCCGCGUCGCAUUAGCUAGUUGGUGAGGUAACGGCUCACCAAGGCAACGAUGCGUAGCCGACCUGAGAGGGUGAUCGGCCACACUGGGACUGAGACACGGCCCAGACUCCUACGGGAGGCAGCAGUAGGGAAUCUUCCGCAAUGGACGAAAGUCUGACGGAGCAACGCCGCGUGAGUGAUGAAGGCUUUCGGGUCGUAAAACUCUGUUGUUAGGGAAGAACAAGUGCUAGUUGAAUAAGCU
rnacentral:rRNA from 1 species